rnacentral:rRNA from 1 species
ACGGGAGGCAGCAGCUAAGAAUAUUCCGCAAUGGACGAAAGUCUGACGGAGCGACGCCGCGUGGAUGAUGAAGGUCGGAAGAUUGUAAAAUCCUUUUAUAACUGAGGAAUAAGUACUGUUCGUGAGGGCAGUAUGGUGACUGUAGGUUAUGAAUAAGCAACGGCUAAUUACGUGCCAGCAGCCGCGGUAACACGUAAGUUGCGAGCGUUGUUCGGAAUUAUUGGGCGUAAAGGGCAUGUAGGCGGUUUUGCGAGCUUAGUGUGAAAUCUCGGAGCUCAACUCCGAAAUUGCGUUGAGAACUGCAUAACUAGAGUCACUGAGGGGCAAUCAGAAUUCCAGGUGUAGGGGUGAAAUCUGUAGAUAUCUGGAAGGAUACCAAUGGCGAAGGCAGGUUACCAGCAGAUGACUGACGCUGAGGUGCGAAGGUGCGGGGAGCAAACAGGAUUAGAUACCCUGGUA